CUUCAAGAAGGACAUUCUGGGAAGUGAAAGUGCUCUUCAGGCUAGAAGGUGAAUAAAGCAUGGAGCCAUCUUAUGAGGACCUCAUCUUGCAUCACAGCAUGGUGGGGAGGAAGCAGCUUUGUGCAAAGAGGAAUAUGUGUGCAAGACAGAGAAGCAUGAGGAGAGACCUGUCUUUGUAACAACCUACUCUCAUGAGACACCAACCACGGCCUCACUCUGUGCUCUUGGGUGUCAGGAGGUACACCAAAAUAGUAUCAGACCUGCACAGAACUGAAGAGAUGCUAAUCUUGCUCCUGUAUCUCCUUACUCUUUGGCUGGGAAAACACCCAGCAUAAUGUUACCUUUUGGACUUUAAAUGGACAGUAUUUAAAAGGAUUAUCCCCAUGCCUGUGUCAAUUGGACUGGGUGAGUUAAAAAAAACAUAUACAUAAAGAC
rnacentral:lncRNA from 1 species